rnacentral:lncRNA from 1 species
CAAUUCCAGCGUGAAUUUUCGUAUUUACUGUAGCAGUUUCGUUUUUACUGUUUAAUUUCAUCUUCAUGCAUGGUGAAAUGUGUUGUUGCAUUUAAUUUCGUUUUAAUUGAAUUUAAUUAUGUUUUAUUUACAUCUGCAUUUUAAUUUAAUUUCAUUUUAAUUUUUCCGCAUCCACAAACAACACUUUCAAACCCCCCACUACUAUGUGUUAGAUCUGAUUCUGAACCGCAGUUCGUCCUUGUGAGACGACCUAGGAGUCAAUUCCUAGUCUAUACUGCAUUCUUAAUUUGCAAUCAAAUUUGUAUGGGCCGUGACACUCAUCACACACCGUACUGGGAGAGGCUAGGCUUUGAUACCAUUUGUAACGCCCCGACAACUUACAGGGACUGCUGACUGCCCCCACA